UACGUAGGUGGCAAGCGUUGUCCGGAAUUAUUGGGCGUAAAGCGCGCGCAGGUGGUUCUUUAAGUCUGAUGUGAAAGCCCACGGCUCAACCGUGGAGGGUCAUUGGAAACUGGGGAACUUGAGUGCAGAAGAGGAAAGUGGAAUUCCACGUGUAGCGGUGAAAUGCGUAGAGAUGUGGAGGAACACCAGUGGCGAAGGCGGCUCUUUGGUCUGUAACUGACGCUGAGGCGCGAAAGCGUGGGGAGCGAACAGG
rnacentral:rRNA from 1 species